CAAUACUUUGGUGGCGACCGGCGCACGGGUGCGUAACGCGUAUGCAACCUACCUUUAACAGGGGCAUAACACUGAGAAAUUGGUACUAAUUCCCCAUAACAUUCGAGAAGGCAUCUUCUUGGGUUAAAAACUCCGGUGGUUAAAGAUGGGCAUGCGUUGUAUUAGCUAGUUGGUGAGGUAACGGCUCACCAAGGCAACGAUACAUAGGGGGACUGAGAGGUUAACCCCCCACAUUGGUACUGAGACACGGACCAAACUCCUACGGAAGGCAGCAG
rnacentral:rRNA from 1 species